GGGAGAGGAAGAGAGAAGAUAAAUAAAGAAAUGUGCCCUCUAAGGUUCAUCUUGGUGUUCCUCUCGGUGACAUUGGCCGUUGCAACGGCAGACUCGUCCUUGUCGCCCACCAAAGCCAAACCCUGAAUGCAGUUUGAAAAGGACAAUUCGGGAUGGAUUCUGGGUUUUCGUGGACAUGGCUAGCGGCAGAUACUUAUGGAGGAAUUUGAGGAUUAUGAACGGAGGUGAGAUAGGGAAGGUCUUUUAGAGCCUCAAAACUGGGGAUAAUGGAGACGGAGGCAGGCCCUCUCUAAUUUCCACCUUAAAAAUUUGAAGUUCUUUAGUCGUAAAAUCUCAAGAACUGUUGCUACACAUCAUUAUCCUUGACCUUAUCAAUUCAAAUUUCUGAGAGGUAGGAAGUUGGAAGGAAA